UACGUAGGGUGCGAGCGUUGUCCGGAAUUACUGGGCGUAAAGAGCUCGUAGGUGGUUUGUCGCGUUGUUCGUGAAAACUCACAGCUUAACUGUGGGCGUGCGGGCGAUACGGGCAGACUAGAGUACUGCAGGGGAGACUGGAAUUCCUGGUGUAGCGGUGGAAUGCGCAGAUAUCAGGAGGAACACCGGUGGCGAAGGCGGGUCUCUGGGCAGUAACUGACGCUGAGGAGCGAAAGCGUGGGGAGCGAACAGG
rnacentral:rRNA from 2 species